rfam:Nomascus leucogenys chromosome 16, whole genome shotgun sequence.
GCUGGGCAUGGCGGUGUGUGCCUGUAAUCCCAGCUGCUCGGGAGGCUGAGGCAGGAGGAUCGCUUGAGUGCAGGAAGUCUGGGCCCCUCAGGUGUCCACACUAAGUUUGGCAUCUAUAUGGUGAUCUCCUGGGAGCGGGGGGCCGCCAGGUUGCCUAAAGAGGGGUGAACCGGCCCAGGUGGGAAACAGAGCAGGUAAGAGCUCUCGUGCUGAUCAGCAGUGGGAUUGCGCCUGCGAAUAGUCACCGCACUCCAGCCUGGGCAACACAGUGAGAUCCCAUCUCUU